rnacentral:rRNA from 1 species
ACCGGCGGCUCGAGUGGUGGCCACUAUUACUGGGCUUAAAGCGUUCGUAGCUGGUUUGUUAAGUCUCUGGGGAAAUCUUCCGGCUUAACCGGAAGGCGUCUCAGGGAUACUGGCAGACUAGGGACCGGGAGAGGUGAGAGGUACUCCAGGGGUAGGAGUGAAAUCCUGUAAUCCUUGGGGGACCACCUGUGGCGAAGGCGUCUCACCAGAACGGCUCCGACAGUGAGGGACGAAAGCUGGGGGAGCAAACCG